rnacentral:rRNA from 1 species
GCCUACGGGAGGCAGCAGUCGAGAAUCAUUCACAAGGGGGGAAACCCUGAUGGUGCGACGCCGCGUGGGGGAAUGAAGGUCUUCGGAUUGUAAACCCCUGUCAUGUGGGAGCAAAUUAAAAAGAUAGUACCACAAGAGGAAGAGACGGCUAACUCUGUGCCAGCAGCCGCGGUAAUACAGAGGUCUCAAGCGUUGUUCGGAAUCACUGGGCGUAAAGCGUGCGUAGGCUGUUUCGUAAGUCGUGUGUGAAAGGCGCGGGCUCAACCCGCGGACGGCACAUGAUACUGCGAGACUAGAGUAAUGGG